CGGUCGCUUCCAUCUGGAGUGUCUGAGGAGACAGACGAGAGCAGACGUCUCCCAGAAGACAGUACUACCGCUGCACCUGGUACACAAUCAGGCACUAGCAGUAGCAGGUCUGAGCCCCCUGCUUCGACGGAGCCACUCCCCGACCCUCUUCACGCAGCUCUGCUCUACGUCUCCUACCAGUCCCACAGGCGCGGGAGCCAGGCCUCCUACCAGCGUGUGCCCACCCUCCGCUUCCAGGGCACCGGCUCCUACGAGCUCAACCCAGCCUGCCCUCGGUCAACUGUGGGCCGUGGUACAGCGACAGCAACGGGAACAGUUCCGUAUCAGCCCUGGGCGGGUACGGCUAGCCAGCGCCGCCGCGGCCCGUCUCCCUCACUGUGCCCAGCACGGUGCACAAGGACGCUACGUCGUCGUCCCACGGUAGCGCCGGCAGCCUGGUGGAAGCGGUGUUGAUAUCAGAGGGCCUGGGCCAUUUCGCUCAGGAUCCGUCCUUCAUCGAGGUGACCAAGCAGGAGCGGCAGACGCGUGUGACAUGACCAUCGAGGAGAUGGAGAACGCAGCCGACAACAUCCUCAACGGCAAACAACCAGCCAGUCCAACGGCAACCUUUUACCCUACAUGCACUGCAACAGGGACCAUGCUGCUUCCCAGGAGCCAGGCCUCAGCCUCAGCGAUGGGCCUGGGGCCGUUCGGGGCCACGGCCUCUGGGGAGAUUGAGGAGCUACUAGGGGCCACUCACCUAGGCAGCACGGGGAUCCGGAGGAU